rnacentral:rRNA from 1 species
AACGGACGAGAAGCUUGCUUCUCUGAUGUUAGCGGCGGACGGGUGAGUAACACGUGGAUAACCUACCUAUAAGACUGGGAUAACUUCGGGAAACCGGAGCUAAUACCGGAUAAUAUUUUGAACCGCAUGGUUCAAAAGUGAAAGACGGUCUUGCUGUCACUUAUAGAUGGAUCCGCGCUGCAUUAGCUAGUUGGUAAGGUAACGGCUUACCAAGGCAACGAUGCAUAGCCGACCUGAGAGGGUGAUCGGCCACACUGGAACUGAGACACGGUCCAGACUCCUACGGGAGGCAGCAGUAGGGAAUCUUCCGCAAUGGGCGAAAGCCUGACGGAGCAACGCCGCGUGAGUGAUGAAGGUCUUCGGAUCGUAAAACUCUGUUAUUAGGGAAGAACAUAUGUGUAAGUAACUGUGCACAUCUUGACGGUACCUAAUCAGAAAGCCACGGCUAACUACGUGCCAGCAGCCGCGGUAAUACGUAGGUGGCAAGCGUUAUCCGGAAUUAUUGGGCGUAAAGCGCGCGUAGGCGGUUUUUUAAGUCUGAUGUGAAAGCCCACGGCUCAACCGUGGAGGGUCAUUGGAAACUGGAAAACUUGAGUGCAGAAGAGGAAAGUGGAAUUCCAUGUGUAGCGGUGAAAUGCGCAGAGAUAUGGAGGAACACCAGUGGCGAAGGCGACUUUCUGGUCUGUAACUGACGCUGAUGUGCG